rnacentral:lncRNA from 1 species
GGAUAGUGAAAAAAUUCUUCUGAUAAUUAAUUAUAAGUCAUGACAUCAUCUCAAAACUAUAGAGAAUUAUCUUCAAUGCAGCAAAAUACUCCUUAAGUUGGCAAAAAUCAAGAUAUCAUCUGCAUAUUGUAAAAUUUUUGUCCCUCCAAAGAUUCAAGGAUUACCAAGACUUCAAAAUUUUUUUCUGAUGCCACCUGAUUAAGCAUUUUACAAAUUGAAUUCAC